AGCUCAGCUGGGAGAGCGCCUGCCUGUCACGCAGGAGAUCGCGGGUUCGAUUCCCGUCGGGACCGCCA
rnacentral:tRNA from 1 species